UACCUGGUUGAUCCUGCCAGUAGUCAUAUGCUUGUCUCAAAGAUUAAGCCAUGCAAGUCUAAGUACGAGCUCUCGUACAGUGAAACUGCGAAUGGCUCAUUAAAUCAGUUAUGGGUCAUUUGAUCGUACAGUUUACUUGGAUAACU
rfam:Ciona savignyi cont_48808, whole genome shotgun sequence.